UUGUUAAAUGAAAUGAUAAACAUGUACUCUGAAAUUUUGUACUUACAUGAUCAUGGCACAUACUCUAAGUCCCGUCUUAAACUUAUUGCUUACAACCUUUUAAAAAAUACGGUUUUCUUGCAUGCAAAGGAAGAAACGAAAAUAACAGCAUUAUCUAGGAGAUUCUGCUUCUUUUGUCGUAGAAUGAUGCAGGGUUUCAUACCAUUACAUCUGACAUUUUGGUUGCUUCCGGGAGUAAAGAUAUCUACUUGGGUUAUAAUAUAUUUUUUCUCUCGAAUAUUGCAUUUUCCUUACAUAAUCCAUUUUAAUUUGGAGAUCACUCACUGGUUCAUGUAGAAAGAGAAUGUAAACUGUAUCCACUUUUUCUUGGAUCAUUUGGGAUUGCUGAAUGGAAAACACUUUCAAGGCAUAAAAUCUAUGAGAAUCAUGACAAGUAAUUGUACUGAAAAGGAUUACUGUCCUAUCUGGCGAUCUGUAUUGAAUUAAUUUAAGCUAGAACUGAGAAACAAGUUAGCUUCGAAAAAAUAAAUAGUUAAUUCGUGCUCAAGUAUUCCUAAAUAGUUGAACAGAUUGAGUUCAUUGCAGUAAAUUUUUUUGAAAACCUAACAUUGAUGAUGCAAGUUUCAACUGGACCAUAUCAGCUUAUUAUAGACAUGCUUACACUUCGAAUGCAAGUUGGAAAUAAUUAUUUCCCGAAGGACAACUACAGUUACUCAAUGAGAUGCUGACUGGAAUCUCCAAGCAGCAUAUUUCUUUUCAGUUGUUCUCCUAGCUGGAAUCUCUAGAGAUGCUGACUGGAAUCUAUAAUUUUUGUGCUAUUUUGUACAAGCCAGAUUGGAUGGCCCAGUUUAUCCAUACACACACAAAAUUACCAGAGUAUUUGAAGUUCGUUUUGGUAGCAAUGCUAUGUCUGUAGGCUGGUCAAUCCUUCAUCUUGGUAGCUAGCUCUGAAUAAGAUCAGUGGUAUGUACGGAAGAAGUUUGUUCUGGUAGCAAUGCUAUGUCUGUAGGCUGAUCAAUCCUUCAUCUUGGUAGCUAGCUCUGAAUAAGAUCAGUGGUAUGUACGGAAGCCUUUUGUAAUCAUACAUUUUGUCUGUAUGAAUGACGUGCUAUGUAAUCAGUCUAUAGUGUUUGGCCAUCCACUGCUUAAAGAUUAUGAUGGGUCCAACCAACAGUUUUAUGUAUGAUUAUUCAUAUCC